UACGUAGGGUGCAAGCGUUGUCCGGAAUUAUUGGGCGUAAAGAGCUCGUAGGCGGCUUGUCGCGUCGGCUGUGAAAACCUGGGGCUCAACCCCGGGCCUGCAGCCGAUACGGGCAAGCUAGAAUUCGGUAGGGGAGACUGGAAUUCCUGGCGUAGCGGUGAAAUGCGCAGAUAUCAGGAGGAACACCGGUGGCGAAGGCGGGUCUCUGGGCCGAUAUUGACGCUGAGGAGCGAAAGCGUGGGGAGCAAACAGG
rnacentral:rRNA from 1 species